rnacentral:rRNA from 1 species
AACGAACGCUGGCGGCAUGCCUAACACAUGCAAGUCGAACGAGACCUUCGGGUCUAGUGGCGCACGGGUGCGUAACGCGUGGGAACCUGCCCUUAGGUUCGGAAUAACUCCCCGAAAGGGGUGCUAAUACCGGAUAAUGUCUUCGGACCAAAGAUUUAUCGCCUUUGGCUGGGCCCGCGUUGGAUUCGCUAGUUGGUAGGGUAAAAGCCUACCAAGGCGACGAUCCAUAGCUGGUCUGCGAGGCUGAUCAGCCACACUGGGACUGAGACACGGCCCAGACUCCUACGGGAGGCAGCAGUGGGGAAUAUUGGACAAUGGGCGAAAGCCUGAUCCAGCAAUGCCGCGGGAGUGAUGAAGGCCUUAGGGUUGUAAAGCUCUUUUACCCGGGAUGAUAAUGACAGUACCGGGAGAAUAAGCUCCGGCUAACUCCGUG